GACGAACGCUGGCGGCGUGCCUAACACAUGCAAGUCGAACGGAGAUUUCAGCAAUGGAAUCUUAGUGGCGAACGGGUGAGUAACGCGUAGCACAACCUACCUUCUAGCUGGGGACUAACACUGCGAAAGUGGUGCUAAUACCGAAUGUUGUAUUUUGAGUGCAUACUUAAGAUACUAAAGGUGGCCUCUAUUUAUAAGCUAUCACUAGAAGAUGGGUCUGCGUCUGAUUAGCUAGUUGGUGAGGUAACGGCUCACCAAGGCGACCAUCAGUAGCCGGUCUGAGAGGAUGAACGGCCACACUGGGACUGAGACACGGCCCAGACUCCUACGGGAGGCAGCAGUGGGGAAUCUUCCGCAAUGGACGAAAGUCUGACGGAGCAACGCCGCGUGAGUGAAGAAUGUUUUCGGAUCGUAAAACUCUGUUUUCAGGGACGAAUGUGUGGAUUGUAAAUAAUGAUCCAUAAUGACGGUACCUGACAAGAAAGCCACGGCUAACUACGUGCCAGCAGCCGCGGUAAUACGUAGGUGGCAAGCGUUGUCCGGAAUUAUUGGGCGUAAAGCGCGCGCAGGUGGGAUAAUCAGUCUGAUGUUAAAGUUCGGGGCUUAACCCCGUGAAGCAUUGGAUACUGUUAUUCUUGAGUGCAUGAUAGGAAAGUGGAAUUCCUA
rnacentral:rRNA from 1 species